AGAGUUUGAUCAUGGCUCAGGAUGAACGCUAGCUACAGGCUUAACACAUGCAAGUCGAGGGGCAGCAUGUUGGCUGCUUGCAACCAAUGAUGGCGACCGGCGCACGGGUGAGUAACGCGUAUCCAACCUACCCUUGUCCAUCGGAUAACCCGUCGAAAGGCGGCCUAACACGAUAUGCGGUUCUCAGCAGGCAUCUAACGAGAACGAAAUGUGAAGGAGAAGGAUGGGGAUGCGUCUGAUUAGCUUGUUGGCGGGGUAACGGCCACCAAGGCGACGAUCAGGUAGGGGUUCUGGAGAGGAACGGUCCCCCACAUUGGAACUGAGACACGGUCCAAACGUCCUACGGGAGGCA
rnacentral:rRNA from 1 species